rnacentral:misc_RNA from 1 species
UGGUUCUGGCAUCGAUGAAGAACGCAGCGAAAUGCGAUAAGUAGUGUGAAUUGCAGACUUUAGUGAAUCAUCGAAUCUUUGAACGCACAUUGCGCCCCUUGGUAUUCCAUUGGGCAUGCCUGUUCGAGCGUCAUUUACACCCUCAAGCUCUGCUUGGUGUUGGGCGUCUGUCUUGCCUUGUGCAAAGACUCGCUCUAAAUAUAUUGGCAGCAGCAGUUCCAGCUUCUUGCGCAGCACAUUGCGCUCUAGGAUUUUGGUGGGCUUGCAUCCAUGAAGAACCUCCCAGUUUGACCUCGAAUCAGGUAGGGAUACCCGCUGA